rnacentral:tRNA from 1 species
GGAAUAUUAUGACAAAAACAAAAGCUUCUAACUUUUGUUUAAGCGGUUAAAUUCCGUUUAUAUCCCU